UACGUAGGGCGCAAGCGUUAUCCGGAAUCACUGGGCGUAAAGCGUCUGUAGGUGGUUCGAAAAGUCCACUGUUAAAAAUUGAGGCUUAACUUCAAAGAUGCCGUGGAAACUUUCAAACUAGAGUAUGGUAGGGGUAGAGGGAAUUUCCAGUGGAGCGGUGAAAUGCGUAGAUAUUGGAAAGACCACCGAUGGCGAAGGCACUCUACUGGGCCAUUACUGACACUGAGAGACGAAAGCUAGGGGAGCGAAUGGG
rnacentral:rRNA from 1 species